GAAUUGGGUCUCGUCGUGUUCUGAGCGGUUCGAGGAAUGGGAGAGGGUCGGGACCCGCGGCUCUGGGCAUCGGGCUCCUUCCUCAGCCGCGGCUGGGAUCACGUUGGGUCAAUGCCACCCGGAGGAUCGGCUCCUCGCCGCUGCCAAACCUUCUCCGGGUCGCUGUGUCAGUGAUGCGCGGACGUGGAGAGACACCCCGGGGUGCACGGGGGGAGGGUGGGAGUCCCGACAGCGUUCCCCGACGGCACUGCGCUGCCAGCGGCCCCUGCCCCCACUCUGCUGCCCCUCGGGAUACCUGCUUGAGCCCGCCCUGAAGCCAAACAAAAGCGCACAUCUCCCCCCUUCCUCCCUCCC